rnacentral:rRNA from 1 species
UACAGAGGUCUCAAGCGUUGUUCGGAUUCAUUGGGCGUAAAGGGUGCGUAGGUGGCGCCGUAAGUCAGGUGUGAAAUUUCGGAGCUUAACUCCGAAACUGCAUUUGAUACUGCGGUGCUUGAGGACUGGAGAGGAGACUGGAAUUCACGGUGUAGCAGUGAAAUGCGUAGAUAUCGUGAGGAAGACCCAGUGGCGAAGGCGGGUCUCUGGACAGUUCCUGACACUGAGGCACGAAGGCCAGGGGAGCAAACGGG